rnacentral:lncRNA from 1 species
UUAAAAUUAUCUGGAAGUGGACAGAGUAUAUUUGAUGAGUGCCAAUUUACAGUGGAAGAAAAAUAAACAUUCAGCUUCAAGACUAAUCAAUCGAUGAAGCCAUGGCUGUGACAAACCUAAACUUCGUAUCUUAACACAUCUGCAUACAUAAUGCUUCAAAGGAAAAUAAAGAAAACCAACAAAGACAAUAAGCUGCUCCUUCUUCAUUUGGCCCAUCUCACUGUUGACUUCUCCAGAGAAGACGCUGUAACAGAGUCUGAAGAACAAGAUCUUUCUUGAAAAUCAACACCUGUGAAAGCAAGAGGGUAUAAGCAGAAUUGUGCAGAGGAAGAAGGAGGAACAUGGAGCUGCUCUCCCUGAAGUGAAAGAUGGGACCCGGAGCCCUUAACCCCAGAUGUUCCUUUGCAUCUCUCCUCUGACUGCAUGGAACAUGGUGUUUUAAAUCACUGUAUUGGAUGACUUCCAGGGUCACUUUUACUAAUACAUUUUAUGAUUCUAGGGUCCAAGAAUGAUGGUAUUAUAUGUAAGAACUCUGAAGCCUCAAAGAGAAGAGCAACUAGAAUUCUUCUUUCUUUCCUAUUGUUCAUCAACACAGUACUAAAAUGACCACUAAAGAGCAGAAA